UAACUGCAUGCAGUAUAGGUUUCACUACAUUUUCUUGCAAUCGGCAGCAUUUAACUAAUCAUUCUGCAGCUGCUUUGUACGAUUUGCAGUAUGGUUCAAAAUUUGUUUUCUUUGGAAAUGGCCUAGAGAUAAAAGAUUCAUUCUCAUGGAUCAAAAGCGCUACCUAGCAAUUUUAAAAAGGAUUGCAACACUUUGAAGACAGGCGUCGUCCUGUGAAAUGCAUUACUUUAUAUUGGUUAUAACCAGUUGCCAAAGAUCGAUAGAGUAACAAAGAAGUAAACGAUUUGUCAAGUCCAACGCCAUGAAUAGGCAUGAUGCACUAACCUUUUGAGCUAGUUGUCUCAUUAAGAUAGUAUGUCCAUUUCAACAAAUAUAGACAUUUUUUUAUCAAUUCUAUUUCUUAAUAAUUCUUUAUUAAUGGGGAUUCUGAGUUAUUGUAGAUCGUAAGUUUGGAUCACACAAACGACAAUGGAAGGUCAACAUGAAAUAUAAAAACAAAUCCGACAUAUUUUCCAUACUUGCAUCCAUACAUGUUACUAUUUUCCGAACAAAUAAGAUUUGAUGUUGUAGUGAGGUUAUGUCACUCGUGCUGACACUAACUUUCUAAAUUCCGUACAAUGCUCUUGAAUUCAUAGAAAGUGCUACUAAUAUAUUAGGGUAUCAAACCGCCAUAUGGAUCCAAAUUGCCUCCUAGCAGUUCAAUAAAUUAUUUGCAGAGGAGAUCGCUGCAAGAAUGAUAUGAAUCGCCAGGAGGCAUAGAUGACACGUAGCGAGUGUCAACAUACCCGAUCAAAGCUUUUAAUCUGAAUUUCCAGACUUGGCUACAAGCAAUAAAUCGAACGAAACUAGAAAGGACUGUAUUUGCUUAGUAUGAGCAAAUUCGGCAACUCUAACUCCACCCUCCUCUUUAUGCAGAAGUGGACUGUUCCAAAAUUGAAUUUGAUA